UGACGUGCUUGCACUGAUUUCAACAAUGAAGCGAGUGGCGAACUGGUGAGUAACACGUGGGGAAUCUGCCCAGAAGCAGGGGAUAACACUUGGAAACAGGUGCUAAUACCGUAUAACAACAAAAUCCGCAUGGAUUUUGUUUGAAAGGUGGCUUCGGCUAUCACUUCUGGAUGAUCCCGCGGCGUAUUAGUUAGUUGGUGAGGUAAAGGCCCACCAAGACGAUGAUACGUAGCCGACCUGAGAGGGUAAUCGGCCACAUUGGGACUGAGACACGGCCCAAACUCCUACGGGAGGCAGCAGUAGGGAAUCUUCCACAAUGGACGAAAGUCUGAUGGAGCAAUGCCGCGUGAGUGAAGAAGGGUUUCGGCUCGUAAAACUCUGUUGUUAAAGAAGAACACCUUUGAGAGUAACUGUUCAAGGGUUGACGGUAUUUAACCAGAAAGCCACGGCUAACUACGUGCCAGCAGCCGCGGUAAUACGUAGGUGGCAAGCGUUGUCCGGAUUUAUUGGGCGUAAAGCGAGCGCAGGCGGUUUUUUAAGUCUGAUGUGAAAGCCUUCGGCUUAACCGGAGAAGUGCAUCGGAAACUGGGAGACUUGAGUGCAGAAGAGGACAGUGGAACUCCAUGUGUAGCGGUGGAAUGCGUAGAUAUAUGGAAGAACACCAGUGGCGAAGGCGGCUGUCUAGUCUGUAACUGACGCUGAGGCUCGAAAGCAUGGGUAGCGAACAGGAUUAGAUACCCUGGUAG
rnacentral:rRNA from 2 species